rnacentral:misc_RNA from 1 species
UCCGAGUUGACCCCGGCAGUCUCCUAUGAGUCCCCACCAUAACGUGCUGGCAACAUAGGACAAGGGUUGCGCUCGUUGCGGGACUUAACCCAACAUCUCACGACACGAGCUGACGACAGCCAUGCACCACCUGUACACGACCCAAUAAAGGACCCGACAUCUCUGCCGGAUUUCCGUGUAUGUCAAACCGGAGGAAGGUGGGGAUGACGUGAGUGACCUUUGC